UUUUGGGUAGUUUACUUUACCACGAAAACAAGUAUUUGAGUGGCGCAAAGUAUUCAGUGAAAGUCGUCGAAAACUUACUUUAUGUCGUUCAUUCACCUUUGUUAAUGACGAUAACAUUGAAAAAGUUAAAGAAACAUUGAUUGAAACUCGUUGUAUGGGAUCAGAAAGAUAGCAGAUGAUCAAAACAUCGCUUAUGAAUCGACUCAGCACAGUGUGGCUAACGUUUUGGGUAAGAUACGUGUAAAAACUAGACUCUUACCAAAAGAUUUGUAUCUUUUUCCAAAAAGACGACGAGUAGUUGCCAGCUCUACUCUAUGAAAGAGAUGCUCGUCAGAUGCUUGACAAUGUAGGGUCCAUUCAUCAAAAGCAUUGGUGACAAGACGGAGGUUUAUGAAUAUGACGCCGAAACCUUUCAACAAUCUACAAAAUAAUUUAGAAUAACUGCAAAAUUAAUUCGAUCAAGAUAGCUGACAUUUAAAAGUUGUUAUGAGAACGUGUGGACAUAUAAUUUAUGAAUAUUUGGGUGUAUGAAAGAUGUUGUCGGAGUAGAGCCGGGCGAGCUCACGGCGCGAGGAAUUGGUGGUUCUGAGCUAAGUCUAGUGCUUUUUAAUCACAACAAAUCCGAGUUGUUCCUUCCGGAUUUUCUGGACAGUCAUCCGAGGGGAUUGCACCAGAAUACCCAAACACAAAGCGUGGAAAAACUAAAUAGUCAGCUGGCAAAGCCUUUGAAUAACGAAAGUGUGAAAUAAGAUUAUCAUUUGCAAAUGAUGAAUCGCACCGGAGCUAAAUACAACAAAAUUACUAAAUGCCAAUAACCCAUUAAAUUGGCUCAUAUCAUCCACCAUACUUUCAUGAAUGCUAUCAUUGACAUAACAUAUUUUGUUUAUAAAGAUUGAAACAAUCGAUCGACAACUUACUUCAAUAA